GGCCCAUCUACUGUUGCCAGCCCCAAUUUGGACAUGCUUAAACCACCUGACAAAGUCCUAAAGCAAUGGGACUCCCUAAAUGUUUCUUAGAUUAUUACCACAGCCAGCCAGCUUCUGUGUGUGUGCACGCGUUUCUGUUCAACCAAACAAGAUUCUCAGGUUUAUUUUUAAGAAGACUGGGUUCCAGAGAAGUGGUUGUUCAAUUUCUCAAGUAUGAUGACAGUUGUCCACAGACAGAAUACUGUCUCCACGAACACUUGGGAUUCAGGAGCACAAACCAAAUCUAGUGCCACAGGGCACAGCUUUAGAUAAAAAGCCAUCAUUGUCUGACAGAAUUGGAGAGGUGACUGUAAACAUGCCCCCCUUUCCUUCUUCCAGGUAUUUCCACAGCUCACGCUGGGCACUUAAAGAUGCAAUAUGUAACUUUUUGGGCGACCAGAAAUUUUAGAUAUAGAUAUGUAAUUCUCAAUAAAAGCAAGUUUAAGAAGCAGUAAAUAUGUUCUAUGUGCGCUAUUUCUAUGCUUCCCAUUGUUAAGUUUUGUUUUGCAUCUUUUACUUCUGGUUUUGUACACCAGCUUCAAACAGCUGAAAAUACAAUAUUUUUGGUUAUAGAAAAUUGUUUCUCUAUGGUAUAGUAAGUCAGGGCAUGACUAGGGUAUACUUUAUACUUUAGGGUAUAUGAUAUACUUUAGUAUAUGUAUGUCUAUGUUGUAUUCUAGUUUAUUAUUUCUAUGUUGGUAUUCUAGUUUUCAUAUUUCUAGGUUGGUGUGCUUGAGAUGGUUCCUAAUUACAGGCAGCUGGCUAUCGUUGUCUCUAAUUGGGGAUCAUAUUUAAGUAGCAUUUUUUCCACCUGUGUUUCAUGGGAUAUUGUUUUGAUUAGUGUAUGUUACACGUCUUUGUUACGGUUUGUUGUUUUGUGCGUUUCUAAUAAAUAAAAUGUGGAAACCAUAUCGCGCUGCAGCUUGGUCCGAUCAUUAUUCCAAGGAACGUGACAGGUUGACCCUCCGGCUGGACAGUGACCCCUGACACAAUCCUCGAUAGGAAAACACAUGUCUGAAGCACUGUGGCCAAGAUGCUUGCUGGAUUCAUCAUGCUGGCUGGCAUCUUCCUGGGGUCCUGUUGCUCCACGGCUGAACUCUGAUUAACUAAAGUGCAAAAGUCUCUGUUUCUCUCAUCAUUGGCUCCAUAUCUGUUGAGCGAAGUGCCAGACACACUUGGGUCCAUCAAGCAAGCUGCUGCAGGGGUUGGAUCGACGUUGGCUACCAGAGGAUUCAGUAUGCAUACGACGUGCUCACACUGUGAUUUCAGGAGGACCUGUGCCAACUGUCUUGCAACAGUAGUUGACUGCAAGUUCUAGCUUGACCCAGUCACGCUCUGUGCUUGACCUUGGAUUUCUUGGCUGUUAGCUAGUGAUAGAUAGUGAUAGUGAUGCACCAGCUAGGGCAAUUUGAAACAUCGACAUCUACUUGCAGCAUUUACCCUUCUAGAUUCAGAAGCUUGAAAACACCAUUAGAAAAGUUUAGAAGAAAAAAAUCUAAAUCUAAUUUUCUUUUAUUUUGUUUUUCAGUCAAAGAUAUUUCAGUAUAGCAACACUUCGUUCUCCACACCGUCCAUAGCCCCCAAAGCAAUACACUGUACAAUAUUAUACAUGGGGUACAUAUUGGCUCGUAGAGAGAGAACUUCUACCUGUCUCAGCUAAAGGGGUGGGAAAUACUCCGUAGCGUCUCUACUAACCAAAUAUGGUUUGUUUUGGAAGGGGACUUUGUCGCAUGUCCUGCUGCUGGCUUUUCACUCCGUCCCCUCCAUAGCCCCCAAUAAAAUACACUGUAAUAUACCGGCAUACAUAUGUUCUUGUAGAGAACUUUUCUAUCGGUCUGAAAUAUUACUUGGUUCAACUAUUUGUUAUUUACCCUGGCUAUCAAUGGCUUUCUUGCACCGACUGCAUUAACUUUGGAUGUGGAGGAGAUCAUUGGGUAAGACAUUUGCAGGUAGCAUUUCCUUCACAAAAGAUUAUUAUAAUGUCACACAUAUAGCUGUUUUGAAGCCUCUGUUGAAGCAAUGGUUGUGUAGCCUGUCCUGUUACACUGCAUUUUUUUUUAACUUAUGGAAAAGUGGUGAUUCCUAAAAAAUAAUUGUACGAUAGGGAUUUUUUUUCCUUUAUUUCUGCUGUAAAUAAGCCUUCCCAGCUAUAUGUCUUAAAAUGCUUGACAACACUUUGUGAAUGGACUUUUUCCCAUUCAUUAACACUGACUUGCUUGCAGUUUCCUGCCUAAAUUGCUUAAAAGUUGUUUCGGCUGACAAAACACACUGGAGUGUUCUUGACCUUGCUUGAAUUAUAGGCUGUU